UACGGAGGGUGCAAGCGUUAUCCGGAUUCACUGGGUUUAAAGGGUGCGUAGGCGGAUUAGAAAGUCCGUUGUGAAAUCUCUGAGCUUAACUCGGAAAUUGCGGUGGAUACUAUUAGUCUUGAAUACUGUGGAGGUUAGCGGAAUAUGUCAUGUAGCGGUGAAAUGCUUAGAUAUGACAUAGAACACCAAUUGCGAAGGCAGCUCGCUACACGAAUAUUGACUCUGAGGCACGAAAGCGUGGGGAUCAAACAGG
rnacentral:rRNA from 1 species